rnacentral:rRNA from 1 species
AAAUUGAAGAGUUUGAUCAUGGCUCAGAUUGAACGCUGGCGGCAGGCCUAACACAUGCAAGUCGAACGGUAACAGGAAGCAGCUUGCUGCUUCGCUGACGAGUGGCGGACGGGUGAGUAAUGUCUGGGAAACUGCCUGAUGGAGGGGGAUAACUACUGGAAACGGUAGCUAAUACCGCAUAAUGUCGCAAGACCAAAGAGGGGGACCCUCGGGCCUCUUGCCAUCGGAUGUGCCCAG